rnacentral:rRNA from 1 species
GACGAACGCUGGCGGCAUGCUUAACACAUGCAAGUCGAGGGGAAAGGCCAUGCUUUUGUGGGUUUCUCUGGUGGCGAACGGGCGCACAGCUGAUUAAUACCCAUCCCUUGACUUUAUGAUUACUUAAGAAACUUGCGGAAAUAAGGGUAAGGCCCAACUGCAUCCCACGGGGGGUUGCAAAGGGUCGGAGGGAGGGGAUGGACUUGGGGCUUGGCAGCUGGUUGGUGGGGUUUGGGCUUAUCACGGCUUUGCAGGGUAGCCGGCCUGAGAGGGUGACCGGCAACAGGGGGACUGAGAUACGGCCCAGACUACUGCGGGAGGCAGCAGUGGGGAAGAUUGCACAAUGGGCGGAAGCCGGAUGCAGCAAGGCCGCGUGCGGGAUGGCGGCCUGCGGGUUGUAAACCGCUUUCUCCUGUAAGGAAGCGUUAGUGACGGUAAUGGGUAAAGAAGCACCGGCUAACUACGUG